rnacentral:ribozyme from 1 species
GGAACUUUCGUUCUCGUUCACGUCGUUUUCUGUUUGCGUUUCUAUCAUUUUUUUUUUUUUACUUUUGAAGACUAUCUCU